AACCAUAGAAACCUGCGGAGUACCUGCGGCAGGAUCAUUACCGAGUUUACAACUCCCAAACCCCUGUGAACAUACCAAUUGUUGCCUCGGCGGAUCAGCCCGCUCCCGGUAAAACGGGACGGCCCGCCAGAGGACCCCUAAACUCUGUUUCUAUAUGUAACUUCUGAGUAAAACCAUAAAUAAAUCAAAACUUUCAACAACGGAUCU
rnacentral:misc_RNA from 1 species